UCACCCCUCAAGCCUAGCUUGGUGUUGGAUGGCCGGUGGUGGCUUCGCCCACGACCCCUCCUAAAGUUAAUGACGGCGGCCUGUUUAUCCCCGGUACACUGAGCUUCUUUUAAGAGCACGUAUCGGUCUCAAGGAUGACAGGGCCCGGUCUUCUCCCUCUACGGGAGAAAUCCUUUUCAA
rnacentral:misc_RNA from 1 species